rnacentral:rRNA from 1 species
AUUGAACGCUGGCGGCAGGCCUAACACAUGCAAGUCGAGCGGAUGAGAGGAGCUUGCUCCUUGAUUUAGCGGCGGACGGGUGAGUAAUGCCUAGGAAUCUGCCUGGUAGUGGGGGAUAACGUUCCGAAAGGAACGCUAAUACCGCAUACGUCCUACGGGAGAAAGCAGGGGACCUUCGGGCCUUGCGCUAUCAGAUGAGCCUAGGUCGGAUUAGCUAGUUGGUGAGGUAAUGGCUCACCAAGGCGACGAUCCGUAACUGGUCUGAGAGGAUGAUCAGUCACACUGGACCUGAGACACGGUCCAGAAUCCUACGGGAGGCAGCAGUGGGGAAUAUUGGACAAUGGGCGAAAGCCUGAUCCAGCCAUGCCGCGUGUGCGAAGAAGGUCUUCGGAUUGUAAAGCACUUUAAGUUGGGAGGAAGGGCAGUAAGCUAAUACCUUGCUGUUUUGACGUUACCGACAGAAUAAGCACCGGCUAACUACGUGCAGCAGCCGCCGUAACAC